GUGCUCACUUUAGCAACAUAUAUACUAAAAUUGAAAUGAUACAGAGAUUAUCAUGGCCCUCUCACAAGGAUGACGCACAAAUUUGUGAAGCGUUCCAUAUUUUA
ensembl:snRNA U6 U6 spliceosomal RNA